rnacentral:rRNA from 1 species
CCAGACUCCUACGGGAGGCAGCAGUGGGGAAUAUUGCACAAUGGGGGGAACCCUGAUGCAGCGACGCCGCGUGGGCGAGGAAGUAUUUCGGUAUGUAAAGCCCUAUCGGCAGGGAAGAAGAAAUGACGGUACCUGAAUAAGAAGCACCGGCUAAAUACGUGCCAGCAGCCGCGGUAAUACGUAGGGGGCAAGCGUUAUCCGGAUUUACUGGGUGUAAAGGGGGCGCAGACGGCGAUGCAAGCCAGGAGUGAAAGCCCGGGGCCCAACCCCGGGACUGCUCUUGGAACUGCGUGGCUGGAGUGCAGGAGGGGCAGGCGGAAUUCCUGGUGUAGCGGUGAAAUGCGUAGAUAUCAGGAGGAACACCGGUGGCGAAGGCGGCCUGCUGGACUGCAACUGACGUUGAGGCCCGAAAGCGUGGGGAGCAAACAGGAUUAGAUACCCGAGUAUAU